GGGAGCCGGGGAAUAAUUUCCUUAACUAUAGCUUAUUUCGGCAACUCUAUACUUUAUGAAUCCUUGUUCAGCUGCAUGAAGCAGUUCCCGGGAAGAGAUACAAUAGAUAUGUGGAACUUGCACAAGCAGCUUUUGGUGAAAGACUUGGGGUUUGGCUUGCUCUCUUCCCUACUGUUUACCUAUCUGCAGGGACUGCGACAACUUUGAUUCUCGUAGGAGGUGAAACCAUGAAGAUGUUCUUUCAAAUUGUUUGUGGUCCGCUCUGUUCAUCGAAUCCUUCAAGUCUUAUCAGUCUAAUGAGUUCUGUUGCAGGCAUUGUUUUAUAGAUAAAUGCAAUUGCAGUGAUCCAUAAAUUUGGUCACAUUGUAUUGACUGAUAUAGAAGAACUGUAAUGUCUAUGUCUUAUUUCUCAUUAUUGUUGAUAGCAAGUGCAACUGUGGCCUUAUAUUAGUUUCUGCGCAACUGUUGGAAUCAUUUCUUGUUAUGGAAAUAUCUCUGAAAAGAAGAGAAUAUAAUUCUUGUUUUA